UACGUAGGGUGCGAGCGUUGUCCGGAAUUAUUGGGCGUAAAGAGCUCGUAGGCGGCCUGUCGCGUCGGAUGUGAAAGCCCGGGGCUUAACCCCGGGUCUGCAUUCGAUACGGGCAGGCUAGAGUGUGGUAGGGGAGAUCGGAAUUCCUGGUGAGCGGUGAAAUGCGCAGAUAUCGGGAGGAACACCGGUGGCGAAGGCGGUCUCUGGGCCUUACCUGACGCUGAGGAGCGAAAGCGUGGGGAGCGAACAGG
rnacentral:rRNA from 1 species